rnacentral:lncRNA from 1 species
AUGCACUAUCCACCCUAACACCUUCUGGUAGUCAUGCCUAGUAUUAGUCGACUAAUAGGACGUCCUCCAUCGCUGUUAGUUAACACUACAAGACAUUGCUGCAGCAGCAGUCCUCCACAAGCAGCUUGUGAGCCUGUAUGCAGCAAAGAUCAGGCAGGGGCAUACAAUAGCACCUUUGUCAGACCAUCAAGAACUGCAAUGACUGUGAUGUGGAACUUAGAAUGCAGUUUUAUGCCACACACCUUACUACUGCUUUAACCCUCCACUGACUCUGCGUGCUGAUGUGUGGUGGGGAAAGCAUGUGGUGUUGUCCACAGCAGCUGCAGGUUGCUGGGUGGGCCCUGUAGACAGACAAACAUGCCCAUCAGAAGUUAAAUACACCAAACCCUGUAUAGGAGACUCCAUACAGAAUAUAUGCAGCAAGAGGUAAUUUGACACAAAAUCCAAAAACUGCAGUUGCCCUUGUUUGCUUGCACAUGAAUGACAAUUACCCCCCCUCAAAAUCAGAGUGAUGAACGUAACUGUGUAGAUACCUGUAGUCACAGCUAUCACCUCCCAAGCUGAAAAUGCAUGCCCGGGAAUCGAACUCAGGUCGGAACUAGGAUACUUGCCUAAAACCAACCCAAUCUAUCGUGACUUCCCCAGCUGGGAACAUCUCACCAUUCCCAAGUCUUAGUUCCGUGUAUCAGCUAGUAACCAACAUACUUCCUCAACGGCGUCUUCCUGUUUAAACCUGGGUAGUUGCCUUAAUCAACCUGUUACAUCAUGAUUUCCCCCAGAGAACAACUCACCAGUGGUCACUAUUCACGUGUCAUGCCCUGUGAUAUGAGCCAGUAGCCAACAUAUGCCUCCAUCCUCAAUGGCUUCCAAACCGGCACCCAUAUCUCAGGCAGAGCGGCAUCAUGCUUAUGCCACCUUUCUUCAUCGUAGGCAGAGCUUUGGUGGAUGAUGCCGUCUGCAGCUCCCGUUUCUCGCUUCUGUACACAUGCCUGCUGAAGCAAGUUUACCAUAUGGGGUUGCAACCCCCUCAUUUGAGUCCUGCAGGUCAUGCAAGCAAGCAGUUGCAAUGUCUAGCACGCAAGCCCAAUUUUACUACUUCUCAUGAGACAACAUUAUACUUUGGGUUGUUGCUUGGGUUUGGUGCUGCCCAGGUGUGCAGCCAUGGCAUGAGGAGCGUGGUCGUGAUGGUGAAGUCCUUUGUUGCCAAGUUGCCAUAGAACUCGGCAAAGUCGUCAUAUUCCAUUUCACUGACGGCCAGGAUUUCCUCAAACGCUUUGGUGGCCUUAUCACCAGCAGCACUGCAAACGUUGCUGGGCACGUUUAAAAUGUACCGCUCAUCUAAUGAACAAGUGCAAUGGCUGAUGAUGCCACUCACUUGUCAUUCGUUG